rnacentral:rRNA from 1 species
GUGCCAGCCGCCGCGGUAAUACGUAGGGGGCGAGCGUUGUCCGGAUUUAUUGGGCGUAAAGGGCACGCAGGCGGUCUGCUAAGUUCAGGGUGACAAUCACCAGCUUAACUGGUGAAGGUCCUUGAAAACUGGCGGACUUGAGAGCGAGAGAGGGACACGGAACUCCGGGUGGAGCAGUGAAAUGCGUAGAGAUCCGGAAGAACACCAAAGGCGAAGGCAGUGUCCUGGCUCGUUUCUGACGCUCAGGUGCGAAAGCCAGGGGAGCGAACGGGAUUAGAUACCCCGGUAGUCCUGGCCGUAAACGAUGGGUACUAGGUGCCUGGGGGAGCGACCCUCUGGGUGCCGGCGCUAACGCAGGAAGUACCCCGCCUGGGGAGUACGACCGCAAGGUUGAAACUCAAAUGAAUUGACGG